GGAUAAGUUGGACAGGACAUUCCAGGCAGGCACUUGGUCUAGAGGUGGGCUGAUCAUUUCUAAAUGGCAGAACCCUGACAAACGUGAGACUGAGAGUCCACAGAGGGGCACGUGGGGCUGAGCUGAGAGGCCCCCAGGGCCAGCAUCCUGGCCCAUGCCUUAUGGAAGGCCAGACUAGAAGCCCUGGGCCAGCCCCAGGAAAUAGGAAGUUUCCAGGCCGUGGACCUCCUGUGCCCCUCAGGGUGGGGGCCAUGGAAGAGCUCCUCUUUGUUGCAGGGAGGGGAAGUCUGUACCCCAAAAAGGUCUUCCCAUAAUCCUGGAGCUGGGAGUGUGCUCGAUGCACCAAUGGCAAAUGGUGUGCAGCAAACGCGCUCCGUUCCUGGCACUCUUACCACUGUCAAGAGAGGGACCCCAGAACUCAGGAGGCAGCCACCAGCAAUCAGCAGGAGCUGGCAGGGGAGGCAGACGGGCCUCCGUCUCUCUCCCAUUUCUUAAAUUGGCAGAUGAAUGAUCUGCAGGGAAUGGUCUGUCCUGAGUCGCAAGUCCCAGACCUUGGGAGUCCUUCCAGGGGUGCACACUGCCCCCUAAGGAGCUGGUGCACGAGGUGCAAGCUGGGGCCCUGUGGGGAGGGCUCCAGAGUGAGGUAGGACCUUCAUCCCUUCAGCCUCUCCAAAUACAGACUGGCAACAGAGAGUUCCUGGCAAUGGUAGGCAGAGGCCCUGAGACAGCCAGCCCUGGCUCCAGGUCCGGCAGUGAGGAGGUGAAAGCAGGUCUGGAAUUAAGAUUUCCUGCCCGUCAGUCAGGUCCGGUCUGCCAUGGGGCUUUUUCUUUUCCCUUCAAGAACCCAAAGCCAGCCAGGUACGGUGGCUCAUGCCUGUAAUCCAGCACUUUGGGAGGCUGAGGUGGGUGGAUCACUUGGGGUCAGGAAUUUGAGACCAGCCUGGCCAACAUGGUGAAACCCUGUCUCUACUAAAAAUACAAAAAUUAGCCAAGUAUGGUGGCACACACUUGUAAUCCCAACUUCUCGGGAGGCUGAGGCAGGAGAAUCGCUUGAACUCAGGAGGCAGAGAUUGCAGUGAGCUGAGAUCGAGCCAGUGCAGUCCAGCCUGGGCAACAGAGUGAGACUCCGUCUUAAAAAAAAAAAAAACAAAAAGCAAAAAACACAAAAGAACCAAGUGAUCUGCAGGAACUGAAGAGGGAGGGAAGGGCAAUCAGAUUCUCUGCCCAGCUCGGCCCUAACUCAAAGGUGAGGACAGGCAUGACCUGGCCUUAUUUCCCAUGCUCUGUAACUGGAGGGCUUGUAGCCCACAGGCCGGUGUGUGGCUAACAGGGCCCUUCUUUUUUCCUGCAGUUUGCUCUGUCUCCUGUUGCGUGUGUGCCUCAUGUUUGCAUGGUGUCUCUGCUUUUAGUUCUUUUCUGUUCUCCUGUUGAGCCCUGCCGAACUCUUCCUGUGUUCCUGGAUCCUUCUGGCCCUGUAUCUUAUUGCGAGACAGUCACCCCCGGGCAGGAGUGGCCUGAGUUGGGCAUUUUCAAUCAGAGGGACUCUCCACAUCAGCCUGUGGUAGGGCCCAGGAACAUGUGCUCUUCCACUGAGGCUGCUGCCUGGUCACAGGAGCUGGACCUCUGCAGCCUGUGGACAUCUCUCGGGUGUCUGUGUCCUUGGCUCAGGAGGUGUCAAGCAAAAUGUCAGCUUAUUUGCCAGGCACAGUGGCUCACACCUUUAAUCUCAGCACUUUGGGAAGCAGAGGUGGGAGGAUCGAUCGUUUGAGUCCAGGAGUUAAGAGACCAGCCUAGGCAACAUAGGGAGACCCCAUCUCUAAGAAAUAUAUAUAUAUAUAUAUAUACACAUAUUUUUGAGACGGAGUUUCACUCUUGUUGCUCAGGCUGGAGCGCAAUGGUGCAAUCUCGGCUCGCUGCAACCUCCGCCUCCCGGGUUCAAGCGAUUCUCCUGCCUCAGCCUCCCGAGUAGCUGGGAUUACAGGCGCGCACCACUGCACCACCACACCUGGCUAAUUUUUUGUGUUUUUAGUAGAGACAGGGUUUCACCAUGGCCAGGCUGGUCAUGAACUUCUGACCUCAGGUGAUUUGCCCACCUCGGCCUUCCAGAGUGCUGGGAUUACAGGUGUGAGCCACUGCGCCCGGCCUCUAAAAAAUAUAUAUAUAUUUUUUUGAGACAGAGUCUCACUCUGUCGCCAGGCUGGAGUGCAGUGGUGUGAUCUCGGCUCACUGCAACCUCAGACUCUCUGGUUCAAGCAAUUCUUCUGCCUCAGCCUCCCAAGUAGCUGGGAUUACAGGCACGUGCCACCACGUCCAGCUAAUUUUUAUAUUUUUAGUAGAGAUGGGGUUUCACCAUGUUGGCCAGAAUGGUCUCGAUCUCCUGAUCUCAUGAUCCACCCACCUCGGCCUCCGAAAGUGCUGGGAUUACAGGCGUGAGCCACCACGCCCGGCCUCUAAAAAAUAUUUUUAAAAAAUUUAGUCAGCCGGGUGCGGUGGCUCAUGCCUGUAAUCCUAGCACUUUGGGAGGCCGAGGAGGUUGGAUUACCUGAGGUCAGGAGUUCAAGACCAGCCUGGCCAACAUGGCAAAACCCCAUCUCUACUAAAAAUAACAAAAAUUAGCUGGGCAUG
rnacentral:lncRNA from 10 species